rnacentral:lncRNA from 1 species
CUGGAAUCCGGAUGCCUUGGCGGGCGGGGCCGCUGGCCCUGCUGGGAGGGGUUGAGGCCCAGCUUGUCCCCUGCCGGCCUCCCCUGCCCUCUGCUGCUCCUCGCACCACAGAGCCUGCCUUCUUCGCAACCUUAGGCUCCUAUCAGCUUUCUUUGACCUACAAUUAGAGCCAAGCCAACUGUAAUGGCCCAGGGGUCAGGGGCAAAUGACCUCUAAGAAGUGUGAGCUACAGUCACUCAAUGAAUGUGCAGAGAUUUCUCUCUGGAUGAGCUGUGUGUAGCUGCUUCAGUAAUCAAC